CCUACGGGAGGCAGCAGUGAGGAAUAUUGGUCAAUGGCCGAGAGGCUGAACCAGCCAAGUCGCGUGAGGGAAGACGGCCCUACGGGUUGUAAACCUCUUUUGUCGGGGAGCAAAGCGAGUCACGUGUGACUCAUUGAGAGUACCCGAAGAAAAAGCAUCGGCUAACUCCGUGCCAGCAGCCGCGGUAAUACGGAGGAUGCGAGCGUUAUCCGGAUUUAUUGGGUUUAAAGGGUGCGCAGGCGGAGGUGCAAGUCAGCGGUCAAAUUGCGGGGCUCAACCCCGUACUGCCGUUGUAACUGCAUCCGGUGAGGGCGCGAGAAGUCUGAGGAAUGAGUGGGGUAGAGGUGAAAUGCAUAGAUAUGACGCAGAAAUCCGAGUGAGAAGGCAGCAUAACGGCGCGCAACUGACGCUCAUGCACGAAAGCGGGGGUAUCGAACAGGAUUAGAUACCGUAGUAGUC
rnacentral:rRNA from 1 species